GACGAACGCUGGCGGCGUGCCUAAUACAUGCAAGUAGGACGCAGUUGCGAACGGGUGAGUAACGCGUAGGUAACUGCCUAUUAGAGGGGGAUAACUAUUGGAAACGAUAGCUAAUACCGCAUACUAGUAGAUGGACCUGCGUUGUAUUAGCUAGUGGGUAGGGUAAUGGCCUACCUAGGCAACGGUACAUAGCCGCGUUGAGAGGGUGAUCGGCCACACUGGGAAUGGGAAAAGGGCCAGACUCCUACGGGGGGCAGCAGUAGGGAAUCUUCGGCAAUUGGGGGAACCCUUACCGAGCAACGCCGCGUGAGUGAAGAAGGUUUUCGGAUCGUAAAACUCUGUUGUUAAGGAAGCGGUACUUAACCAGAAAGGGACGGCUAACUACGUGCCAGCAGCCGCGGUAAUAC
rnacentral:rRNA from 1 species